UACGUAGGGGGCAAGCGUUGUCCGGAUUUAUUGGGUUUAAAGGGUGCGUAGGCGGCUUUCUACGUCAGUGGUGAAAUCUCCCGGCUUAACCGGGAGGUUGGCAUUGAUACUGGGUUGCUUGAGUAAAGUUGAGGUAGGCGGAAUUGACGGUGUAGCGGUGAAAUGCUUAGAUAUCGUCAAGAACACCAAUAGUGAAGACAGCUUACUAAGCUUUAACUGACGCUGAGGCACGAAAGUGUGGGGAGCAAACAGG
rnacentral:rRNA from 1 species